GCGGGCGUGGCGGAACGGCAGACGCGCUGGAUUUAGGAUCCAGUGGGGCAAAUCCCGUGGGGGUUCAAAUCCCUUCGCCCGCACCA
rnacentral:tRNA from 1 species